rnacentral:rRNA from 1 species
CCUACGGGUGGCAGCAGUGGGGAAUAUUGGACAAUGGGGGCAACCCCGAUCCAGCCAUGCCGCGUGUGUGAAGAAGGCCCUCGGGUUGUAAAGCACUUUCAGUGAGGAAGAACGCCUGGUGGUUAAUACCCAUCAGGAAAGACAUCACUCACAGAAGAAGCACCGGCUAACUCCGUGCCAGCAGCCGCGGUAAUACGGAGGGUGCGAGCGUUAAUCGGAAUUACUGGGCGUAAAGCGCGCGUAGGUGGCUUGAUAAGCCGGUUGUGAAAGCCCCGGGCUCAACCUGGGAACGGCAUCCGGAACUGUCAAGCUAGAGUGCAGGAGAGGAAGGUAGAAUUCCCGGUGUAGCGGUGAAAUGCGUAGAGAUCGGGAGGAAUACCAGUGGCGAAGGCGGCCUUCUGGACUGACACUGACACUGAGGUGCGAAAGCGUGGGUAGCAAACAGGAUUAGAUACCCCUGUAGUC